GACAACAGAAGCCACAGAAAUCCUCCUCAUCAAAAACAUGACUUUGAUCUCCGUCCUCAUCUGGACUCUCCUCUGCUGCUGCUUCACAGAGUCCAGAGGCCAGAUCACAGUGACUCAGCCUGCAGCAGUGAGAUCUGAACUGAGAGGAUCUGCAACCAUCAACUGUAAGACCAGUCAGGAUGUUGAUGGAGAUUUUUUAGCCUGGUACCAACAUAGAGAUGGAGAAACUCCCAAACUUCUCAUUUACUAUGCUGACCAGUUAGAAUCAGGGAUUCCAGAUCGUUUUUCAGGCAGUGGAUCAAACUCUGACUUCAUUCUGACCAUCAAUGGAGUUCAGGCUGAAGAUGCAGCAGUUUAUUACUGUCAGAGUUAUCAUGAAAUCAACAGUCAGCGUGUGUUCACACAGUGA